rnacentral:rRNA from 1 species
GAUUUCUGACAUGGUUUGCUUGAUCCGUCGGCGUUAGCCGUGCGAGUAUCGAGUCGCCGCGUCAUCCUUGUAGAAAACUCUCGUGCCCUUAACUGGGCUGCGGGGGUGAUCUACAUCUUUUACUUUGAAAAAAUUAGAGUGUUUAAAGCAGGCUUUUGCUAUGAAUACAUUAGCAUGGAAUAAUAAUCUAGGACUUCGGUUCUAUUUUGUUGGUUUCUAUAACUGAAGUAAUGAUUGAUAGGGAUAGUUGGGGGUGCUAGUAUUGGCCGGCCAGAGGUGAAAUUCUUGGAUUCGGUCAAGACUAACUUAUGCGAAAGCAUU